rnacentral:lncRNA from 1 species
CUCUCUCUCACUCACUCACUCACUCACUCACUCACUCACUCACUCACUCACUCACUCACUCGCAGCACUGAAAUGUAGUGUUGCGUCAAGACCUGGUAAUAAUCUCUCGUAAUUCUCAAUGAAUUAAAAAAAAAUGUAAUUAUAAAAAAUACUCAAAUGGCAAAAAGAUAAUAUAUAUAUUUAUGAAUAUUUACAAUAAAAGAGGUUCUUUGUCUGUUGCCAAACAUGUCUACAGUGCACAGUUCAGUACUCAUGCUGUAGGGAGUAUUGUUUCUGUUCUCAGCAGCCAGCCUCUUCUUUGGUAACACACAUGCCUGUGUACAGUCCUACACACUCUCCUGUAACACAUUCUGAACAACCUGUAUGGUGUUCUGGUAACCUUGGUAACACAUUUGCCUGUGGUACAGUCCUACACACUCUCCUGUAACACGUUCUGAACAACCUGUAUGGUGUUCUGGUAACCUUGGUAACACACAUGCCUGUGGUACAGUCCUACACACUCUCCUGUAACACGUUCUGAACAACCUGUAUGGUGUUCUGGUAACCUUGGUAACACACAUGCCUGUGGUACAGUCCUACACACUCUCCUGUAACACGUUCUGAACAACCUGUAUGGUGUUCUGGUAACCUUAGUAAUUCACAUGCCUGUGGUACAGUCCUACACACUCUCCUGUAACACGUUCUGAACAACCUGUAUGGUGUUCUGGUAACCUUGGUAACACACAUGCCUGUGGUACAGUCCUACACACUCUCCUGUAACACAUUCUGAACCUGUGUUCAGGUAACCUUGGUAACACACUUGCCUGUGGUACAGUCCUACACACUCUCCUGUAACACAUUCUGAACCUGUGUUCAGGUAACCUUGGUAACACACAUGCCUGUGGUACAGUCAUACACACUCUCCUGUAACACAUUCUGAACCUGUGUUCAGGUAACCUUGGUAACACACUUGCCUGUGGUACAACCAUACACACUCUCCAGUAACACAUUCUGAACAACCAGUAUAGUGUUCAGGUAACCUUGGUAACACACAUGCCUGUGGUACAGUCCUACACACUCUCCUGUAACACAUUCUGAACAACCAGUAUAGUGUUCAGGUAACCUUGGUAACACACUUGCCUGUGGUACAGCCAUACACACUCUCCUGUAACACAUUCUGAACAACCUUGUCAGUUGUUGAAUGAGAAGAAACAUUAAUUGGGUACUAAUAUUGUUAUUUGUAUAUGAAUUGCAGCAGGAAAGCAGGUAUCUCGGCUGUAUCAACUAAUAAUACAUUCCUGUUAUGCCUCCAUUUUAAACAUGGAAUUCUUUUUCCCCUUCCUUUAAUCCUGCUGUAUGUGACAGACUUGCUUCCAGCAUGUGAUGCUCUUUAAGCAGUCAUGAUGGGUCUGUCCCUAAAAGUGGUUCAGCACUCUCUUCCAUCAAUGUAGAGCAAUGGUAGUUACAAUAGUUGAAGCCCUAAGUUCACUUUGCAGAACAGGACAUGGCUCAUUUCAUGGUUUCUGGAGGAUAUGAAUGCCAUUGCUAAUUGCUGUUGAAGGAAAUUCCUGCCUAAAGCCUUCCUAGAAUCCAUUGUAGAUGUGGAUUAGAUGAAGUCUGCUUGUGUUCAGUCACUGCGUGUGUUUGUGAGCACAUUUCAAGGUGGACAUCAUUGUAUUUGUAGAUGCAACUUGUACUGUACAUGUCUCCUGGUGUUAGUCUCAUUCAAAUCAGAUCUUAGAUCUCGCUAAACAAAGAUCUGAGGAUAUCCCAUGACAGGUCAAGUCAGAACGACCUUUCAUCUGACCAAUGAGAGUUUCACUUACAGAUCAAGAAAGUGACGGUCGGAAUGUGUUUUCUAAUCAUGCAAACUUGAAAAGGUUCACCCGUAGCUUUCCAAUUGACAAAAGCAUGUAUGUCUCUCGCUUCAAUAAGAGAAACAUUUUAACAUAAGAGACUUCACAUUGCCCGUGAGAAGUAUUGCCACACAGUCUAAGCCAUCUAUUACACAUUCUUGGCUGUUCUUUAGUUCACUUUUCAAAUUUUGAAUUGAGAACUUUUUCAAAAUAUUUUUUAAAGCAUAGUCUGGAAUGGAAGUCACCAGUUUGAAACUAGUGCCAUUUCGCCCAAGAAAGCAGCUUUCUGACUGACAAUUGCCAAUGUCUUGUUAGUCAUUGGUCGCUCAAAUUCACGAAAGGUCGUUCUGGCGUGACCUGUAAUCUGAUGUCCUCAGAUCUUUGUUUAGCAGUAGAGAGAACUAAGAUUAGAUUUUAAUGAGAUGGUGUUAUUGGCAUGGGCUGUUGACACCCCAUGGUCCACCUGCACAAAGCAAUCUUAGUGCUGAGGUGAGGACUCCCAUACUGUAACAUAGGCUGUGCAAGUGGGCCCUGGGCCCCGUAACGCAAAGCGAUCUUAGCGCUAUGUAAGCCUUUGUUAAAGUAUGGGAGCUAUGAUCACCUCAGCGCUAAGACAGCUUUGUGCAAGGGGGCCCAGGUAUCUACUGUCUAUUGGCAAGGGAGGUUGACUGUUUGCUAUGUGUGACAGAUCAAUCUUGUAACAUGUUUUAUGUUUUGGUUUGUCUAAGAAAGACUUAUAACUUAACCAACAACACUCGAUUGUUCAAGUAUAUCUUUACUUCUCUGAGCUCAUAACAUGAGACAAGAGUUACUUCCCUUGUGCCGUAUAUAACAGUUAUGUGCGUCUAUCAUAAUUUUGCCACAUCCUUCUCACACCAGAUUAAUUUUAAACACAAAAAUAAACUUAAAGAUAAAUCUUAUUAUGCAAAACUUGCAAAAUUAUAGUCUUUUGAUAGCACUGUUAUUGUCCUAAUGAAGAUACUUUGUAGCACUUUCACACAAAUUAUCAAAUUAAAGUCUUUGAUGAACAUGACAUAACACAGUUAUUAGAUUAACACUUUAACACGGAUAGUCUUUGAACUUUGCAGGCAUCUCAACCAGUCUUCCACUUUAAGUUCUCACUUCCCACUUCUGAGACCAUGGGGGGCGGUCGGGUAGCAUGGUGGUUAAAGCGUUCGCUUGUCACACCGAAGACCCGGGUUCGAUUCCCGACAUUGUUAUAAUGUGUGAAGCCUAUUUUUGGUGUCCCCCCCCCCGAGAUAUUGCUAGAAUAUUGCUAAAAGACGUAGACAAGAGUUACUUCCCUUGUACCAUAUAUAACAGUUAAGUGUGCCUAUGACAAUUACGCCACAAAUUGCUUGAAUGUAAGUAUCCAACAUGACACAGGUAGCUGGGUGCAUGGCAGUUUGACAGGGCUGGAAAUUAAUAUGUAAAUUAAGAAAGUAAAGGUACUGAAUACAUAAGCAAGAAUGUUGUGGAAAUUAUUUCUAUAUUUAUCCAAUUUACAUCUGUAUUAUCAAAGGAACAAGUGUUGUUUCUAAAGACUCGCAAAAAUAAAACACAAAAUAGAU